AAUGUCUUGUAGCAAAUUUCGAGUUAGUCAUAUAAUUUAGGUGUGGAUGGACGCCAUAUGAAAGGUUGUGUUUUUCAACAAAUAUACAUGCGUGUUGACGUUGGUAAAACAUUUACCUGUCGUCGAUGACGCAGAUUUCUUUGUUGCAUGAACAAAUUCAACCUUAAAAUGCAAAUAACAAAAACACAUCAAUAUAAGACAGUGUACAUGUUCGUACAAAAACAUGGAGGUUCUUGUGCUACUAUCUGACGUCAAACGCCAAGCGCACUCGAAGUUUUGUUUGUAAACAUUGUUAGACGCUUGAAUCUGGCAGGUCGCAAUUCUUUGGUAACAGGGAAAAAAUUCAUUAAUAAAGUUGAUUAAGCCCUUAACUCAUUACGCAAGUUAUUAUUAUGACAUAUAAGGGUUUCAAAGCUUCAAUGUAAAACAUUAUGUAAAGGCAGGUUGCUUUGAGGAGAUUCAUUUGUAUCAUCUUGUUUUGAUUUUAUGGAGUCUGCAUCAGCGAUGGCUUCCUCUGUAUGCUGGAUAUCUUGGGUCUUGGUUGUAGGUUGACUUGAUCCACUAAGCAACUGCUCAUCCUACGAUUUAAAAAUUGUUUUGUAGUGUUUUAAAUCCAUGCACAGUAAAAGAUACAAUAAACUAUAUGAAGUUUUCAUAGUGAUUUACUCAAGCAAAAUGACAAUUGCAUCAAAUGGUUUCAUUUCAUUAAAUAACAUGCAAUCCUAACAACGACCAGUUGAUAGGAGUUUGAAAUGUCACAUAAUUGAGAAGUUCACAAGAUAAGAAAUCAAAGAAUUAAAUCACAUGCACUAUCCUGUUUUAUACAUACCAAUUUUGUCAUCAAUUUUUCAUCAGAUGCUAUAGAUUUUUCAUAAGAAAAUAGAUAAAUUUAGGUACAAAUAAUGCAUUAAUAAAACGCAAGCAAGAGGAA